rnacentral:rRNA from 1 species
GGGUUGUGAGGUUAAGCGACUAAGCGUACACGGUGGAUGCCCUGGCAGUCAGAGGCGAUGAAGGACGUGCUAAUCUGCGAUAAGCGUCGGUGAGGUGAUAUGAACCGUUAUAACCGGCGAUUUCCGAAUGGGGAAACCCAGUGUGUUUCGACACACUAUCAUUAACUGAAUCCAUAGGUUAAUGAGGCGAACCGGGGGAACUGAAACAUCUAAGUACCCCGAGGAAAAGAAAUCAACCGAGAUUCCCCCAGUAGCGGCGAGCGAACGGGGAGGAGCCCAGAGCCUGAAUCAGUGUGUGUGUUAGUGGAAGCGUCUGGAAAGGCGCGCGAUACAGGGUGACAGCCCCGUACACAAAAAUGCACAUAUUGUGAGCUCGAUGAGUAGGGCGGGACACGUGGUAUCCUGUCUGAAUAUGGGGGGACCAUCCUCCAAGGCUAAAUACUCCUGACUGACCGAUAGUGAACCAGUACCGUGAGGGAAAGGCGAAAAGAACCCCGGCGAGGGGAGUGAAAAAGAACCUGAAACCGUGUACGUACAAGCAGUGGGAGCCUCUUUAUGGGGUGACUGCGUACCUUUUGUAUAAUGGGUCAGCGACUUAUAUUCUGUAGCAAGGUUAACCGAAUAGGGGAGCCGAAGGGAAACCGAGUCUUAACUGGGCGUUAAGUUGCAGGGUAUAGACCCGAAACCCGGUGAUCUAGCCAUGGGCAGGUUGAAGGUUGGGUAACACUAACUGGAGGACCGAACCGACUAAUGUUGAAAAAUUAGCGGAUGACUUGUGGCUGGGGGUGAAAGGCCAAUCAAACCGGGAGAUAGCUGGUUCUCCCCGAAAGCUAUUUAGGUAGCGCCUCGUGAAUUCAUCUCCGGGGGUAGAGCACUGUUUCGGCAAGGGGGUCAUCCCGACUUACCAACCCGAUGCAAACUGCGAAUACCGGAGAAUGUUAUCACGGGAGACACACGGCGGGUGCUAACGUCCGUCGUGAAGAGGGAAACAACCCAGACCGCCAGCUAAGGUCCCAAAGUCAUGGUUAAGUGGGAAACGAUGUGGGAAGGCCCAGACAGCCAGGAUGUUGGCUUAGAAGCAGCCAUCAUUUAAAGAAAGCGUAAUAGCUCACUGGUCGAGUCGGCCUGCGCGGAAGAUGUAACGGGGCUAAACCAUGCACCGAAGCUGCGGCAGCGACACUAUGUGUUGUUGGGUAGGGGAGCGUUCUGUAAGCCUGUGAAGGUGGCCUGUGAGGGUUGCUGGAGGUAUCAGAAGUGCGAAUGCUGACAUAAGUAACGAUAAAGCGGGUGAAAAGCCCGCUCGCCGGAAGACCAAGGGUUCCUGUCCAACGUUAAUCGGGGCAGGGUGAGUCGACCCCUAAGGCGAGGCCGAAAGGCGUAGUCGAUGGGAAACAGGUUAAUAUUCCUGUACUUGGUGUUACUGCGAAGGGGGACGGAGAAGGCUAUGUUGGCCGGGCGACGGUUGUCCCGGUUUAAGCGUGUAGGCUGGUUUUCCAGGCAAAUCCGGAAAACCAAGGCUGAGGCGUGAUGACGAGGCACUACGGUGCUGAAGCGACAAAUGCCCUGCUUCCAGGAAAAGCCUCUAAGCAUCAGGUAACAUCAAAUCGUACCCCAAACCGACACAGGUGGUCAGGUAGAGAAUACCAAGGCGCUUGAGAGAACUCGGGUGAAGGAACUAGGCAAAAUGGUGCCGUAACUUCGGGAGAAGGCACGCUGAUAUGUAGGUGAAGCGACUUGCUCGUGGAGCUGAAAUCAGUCGAAGAUACCAGCUGGCUGCAACUGUUUAUUAAAAACACAGCACUGUGCAAACACGAAAGUGGACGUAUACGGUGUGACGCCUGCCCGGUGCCGGAAGGUUAAUUGAUGGGGUUAGCGGUAACGCGAAGCUCUUGAUCGAAGCCCCGGUAAACGGCGGCCGUAACUAUAACGGUCCUAAGGUAGCGAAAUUCCUUGUCGGGUAAGUUCCGACCUGCACGAAUGGCGUAAUGAUGGCCAGGCUGUCUCCACCCGAGACUCAGUGAAAUUGAACUCGCUGUGAAGAUGCAGUGUACCCGCGGCAAGACGGAAAGACCCCGUGAACCUUUACUAUAGCUUGACACUGAACAUUGAGCCUUGAUGUGUAGGAUAGGUGGGAGGCUUUGAAGUGUGGACGCCAGUCUGCAUGGAGCCGACCUUGAAAUACCACCCUUUAAUGUUUGAUGUUCUAACGUUGGCCCGUAAUCCGGGUUGCGGACAGUGUCUGGUGGGUAGUUUGACUGGGGCGGUCUCCUCCUAAAGAGUAACGGAGGAGCACGAAGGUUGGCUAAUCCUGGUCGGACAUCAGGAGGUUAGUGCAAUGGCAUAAGCCAGCUUGACUGCGAGCGUGACGGCGCGAGCAGGUGCGAAAGCAGGUCAUAGUGAUCCGGUGGUUCUGAAUGGAAGGGCCAUCGCUCAACGGAUAAAAGGUACUCCGGGGAUAACAGGCUGAUACCGCCCAAGAGUUCAUAUCGACGGCGGUGUUUGGCACCUCGAUGUCGGCUCAUCACAUCCUGGGGCUGAAGUAGGUCCCAAGGGUAUGGCUGUUCGCCAUUUAAAGUGGUACGCGAGCUGGGUUUAGAACGUCGUGAGACAGUUCGGUCCCUAUCUGCCGUGGGCGCUGGAGAACUGAGGGGGGCUGCUCCUAGUACGAGAGGACCGGAGUGGACGCAUCACUGGUGUUCGGGUUGUCAUGCCAAUGGCACUGCCCGGUAGCUAAAUGCGGAAGAGAUAAGUGCUGAAAGCAUCUAAGCACGAAACUUGCCCCGAGAUGAGUUCUCCCUGACUCCUUGAGAGUCCUGAAGGAACGUUGAAGACGACGACGUUGAUAGGCCGGGUGUGUAAGCGCAGCGAUGCGUUGAGCUAACCGGUACUAAUGAACCGUGAGGCUUAACCUUACAACGCCGAAG